rnacentral:rRNA from 1 species
UGUUGAUGUAGCCAGUGGUGUAAACAGAGGGUUUGAUUAUGGCUCAGACAUUACUGAACGCUGGCGGAUGCUUUACACAUGCAAGUCGAACGGCAGCACGGACUUCGGUCUGGUGGCGAGUGGCGAACGGGUGAGUAAUGUAUCGGAACGUGCCUAGUAGCGGGGAUAAUUACGGAAAGCGUAGCUAAUACCGCAUACGCCCUUCGGGGGAAAGCGGGGACCUGCCUCGCACCAUAGAGCGGCCGAUAUCGAUUGAAUAGUUGUGGGGUAACGGCUCACCAAGGCGACGAUCCGUAGCUGGUUUGAGGGGACGACCAGCCACACUGGGACUGAGACACGGCCCAGACUCCUACGGAGGCAGUAGGGGGGAAUUUUGGACAAUGGGGAAACCCUGAUCCAGCCAUCCCGGCGUGUGCGAUACGCCUUUGCCAUAAAGCACUUUGGCAGGAAAGCAAAAACGGUACGGAUAAUACCUCGUGCAACUGACGGUACCUGCAGAAUAAGCACCGGCUAACCAUGUGCCAGCAGCCGCGGUAAUAAUGUAGGGAAAGCGUUAAUCGGAAUUACUGGGCGAAGCGUGCAGGCGGUCUGGUGCAGAAAGAUGUGAACCGUAGAGCUAAUCCUUGAACCUGCAUUUUAACUACCGAGCUAGAGCAUGUCAGAGGCAGGAAUUCGCGUGUAGCAGUGAAAUGUAGAUAUGCGGAGAACACCGAUGGCGAAGGCACUGGGAAGCAACACCGACGCUCAUGCACGAAAGCGUAGGGAGCAAACAGACGAUAAUUCUGGUGAACCACGCCCUAAACGAUGUCAAUUAGCUGUUGGGGCCUUUCGCCUUGCAGCGCAGCUAACGCGUGAAGUUGACCGCCUGGGAGUACGGUCGCAAGAUUAAAACUCAAAGGAAUUGAUUGGGACCCGCACAAGCGGUGGAUGAUGUGGAUUAAUUCGAUGCAACGCGAAAACCUUACCUACCCUUGACAUGUCUGGAAUCCCGAAGAGAUUUGGGAGUGCUCGCAAGAGAACCGAACACAGGCGCGUAUGGCCACGUUUUCUGCGCUCGUGUCACGAGAUGUUGGGUUAAGUCCCGCAACGAGCGGCAACCCUUUGUCAUUAGUUACAUGAAAGGGGCACUCUAAUGAGACUGCCGGUGACAAACCGGAGGAAGGUGGGGAUGUCAAGUCCAUGGCCCUUAUGGGUAGGCCACACGUCAUACAAUGGUCGGGAUUAGAGGUCGCCAACCCGCGAGGGGAGCCAAUCCUGAACUCGAUCGUAGUCCGAUCGUAGUCUGCAACUCGACUGCGAAGCUGGAAUCGCUAGCAAUCGCGACCGGCAUGUCGCGGAAUAUGUUCCCGGCCCGGUACACACCGCCCGUCACACCAUGGGAGGUGGGUUUCACUAGAAGUAAAGAAUGGUAACUGCGAGGGCGAUUACCACGGCAGAUUCAUGACUGCAAAGUUGACAAGGGU